ensembl:misc_RNA 7SK 7SK RNA
GUAAGAGCAAUCUGGCUGUGACACCCGUCACUUGGCUGACCUGGUUGGCUCACAGGGUGUCUGCUUCCUCCUUCCUCACUCCAUCCAUGUCCCAGCAGCUGUGCCCUCCGCUGAGCAGGCAGCCAGAGUGACCCUCCCUGAAUGGAGACUGACUUUUGAUCAAGGGAAUAUGAGUAGCUGUCAUCCCCUGCUAGAACCUCCCAAGAAGUUCCCAAAGUCCAAAGUUCCCAGUUUGUAUUUGAGGACAGAAAUGUAUGGGAUCUCUGUCUCUUGGUAGCUGACUUCUUUUUUUAUCUUUAUUUACUGGAUAGAGACAGCCAGA